rnacentral:tRNA from 1 species
GUGGGUGUAGCUCAGUGGUGGAGCACAUGCUUAGCAUGCACGAGGUCCUGGGGUCAAUCCCCAGUACCUCCA